rnacentral:rRNA from 1 species
GACAGAGGGGCAAGCGUUGCUCGGAAUUACUGGGCGUAAAGGGCGCGUAGGCGGGAUGGCAAGUCGGUCGUGAAAUCCUCGGCUCACCGAGGAACGUCGAUCGAUACUGCUGUUCUUGAGGAUUGCAGAGGAGACUGGAAUUCCCGGUGUAGCGGUGAAAUGUGUAGAGAUCGGGAGGAACACCGGUGGCGAAGGCGGGUCUCUGGGCA